AUGGGCGGCGGGCACGACAUGCACGGCGGCCACAGCGGCGGAGUGAAGGGCUUCGUGUCCAGCCUCGUCGGCGGCGGCAAAAGCCACGGGUACGGCGGCCAGGGGCACGGUUGCGACCAGGGCUACGGCGGCCACGGGCAGCAGCAGCACGGGUACGGCGGCCACGGCCAGCACGGGUACCCUCCGCCCGCCGCCGGUGCUUGCCCCCCGUACGGCGGCUACCCGGCGCAAGGCUACGCGCCGGCGGCGUACCCCGCGCAGCCCGCGCCACACCACGGUGGGCACAUGGGAUCGUACCACACCGGGCACGGCGGCGGGCACGGGCACGGCUACUCCGGCGGGAAGCACAUGGGCGGCGGCAAGCACGGCGGCAGGAAGUGGAAGUGA
rnacentral:rRNA from 1 species